GUUGUUGCGGUUAAAAGCUCGUAGUUGGAUUUCUGUUGAGGUCGGGCGGUGUACACCUCGUGUAUUAUUUGCUUCGGUCUCGGCAUCCUCUUGGGGAACGUAUCAGGACUUUAUUGGACUGUGCGAGAUUCAAGACUUUUACUUUGAGGAAAUUAGAGUGUUCACGGCAGGCAAGUGCUUUGAAUACAUUAGCAUGGAAUAAUAAUAUAGGACCUUCGUUCUAUUUUGUUGGUUUCUAGAACUUAGGUAAUGAUUAAUAGGGACAAUUGGGGGCAUUCGUAUUAACGCGUCAGAGGUGGAAUUCUUGGUUUGCGUUACGACGAACUACUGCGAAAGCAUUUGCCAAAGAUGUUUUCAUUGAUCAAGAACGAAAGUAUGGGGAUCGAAGACGCUUAGAUACCGUCGUAGUCUAUACCAUAAACUAUGCCAACUAGGGAUUGGACGGGUUAUCCUAUGUGGCUCGUUCAGCACCUUAUGAGAAAUCAAAGUUUUUGGGUUCCGGGGGGAGUAUGGUCGCAAGGCU
rnacentral:rRNA from 1 species